rnacentral:rRNA from 1 species
AUUGAACGCUGGCGGAAUGCUUUACACAUGCAAGUCGAACGGUAGAGGGGGCAACCCCUCGAGAGUGGCGAACGGGUGAGUAAUAUAUCGGAACGUGCCCAGUCGUGGGGGAUAACGUAGCGAAAGUUACGCUAAUACCGCAUACGAUCUAAGGAUGAAAGCGGGGGAUCGCAAGACCUCGCGCGAUUGGAGCGGCCGAUAUCAGAUUAGGUAGCUGGUGGGGUAAAGGCUCACCAAGCCAACGAUCUGUAGCUGGUCUGAGAGGACGACCAGCCACACUGGAACUGAGACACGGUCCAGACUCCUACGGGAGGCAGCAGUGGGGAAUUUUGGACAAUGGACGCAAGUCUGAUCCAGCCAUUCCGCGUGCAGGAUGAAGGCCCUCGGGUUGUAAACUGCUUUUGUACGGAACGAAAAGGUCUCUCUUAAUACGGGGGACUCAUGACGGUACCGUAAGAAUGAGCACCGGCUAACUACGUGCCAGCCGCCGCGGUAA